AACGAACGCUGGCGGCAUGCCUAACACAUGCAAGUCGAACGAGACCUUCGGGUCUAGUGGCGCAUGGGUGCGUAACGCGUGGGAACCUGCCCUUAGGUUCGGAAUAACUCCUCGAAAGGGGUGCUAAUACCGGAUAAUGUCUUCGGACCAAAGAUUGAUCGCCUUUGGUUGGGCCCGCGUUGGAUUAGCUAUUUGUUAGGGUAAAAGCCUACCUAGGCUACGAUACAUAGCUGGUCAGAGAGGAUGAGCAGCCACACUGGGACUGGGACACGGCCCAGACUCCUACAGGAUGCGGCAGUGGGUAAUAUUGUACAAUGGUAAAAAGCAAGAAACAGUAAUGGCGCGUAAGUGAUGAAGGCCUUAAAGAAAUAAAGCACGUUUACCCGGUAUGAUAAUGACAGUACCGAGAGAAUAAGCUCCGGCUAACUCCGUG
rnacentral:rRNA from 1 species